rnacentral:rRNA from 1 species
GUUACGAUAUGAUGCGAGGUUAAGUUGAAGAGACGGAGCCGUAGGGAAACCGAGUCUUAAUAGGGCGCAUUAGUAUCAUGUCGUAGACCCGAAACCAUGUGACCUACCCAUGAGCAGGGUGAAGGUGAGGUAAAACUCACUGGAGGCCCGAACCAGGGCACGUUGAAAAGUGCUUGGAUGACUUGUGGGUAGCGGAGAAAUUCCAAACGAACUUGGAGAUAGCUGGUUCUCUCCGAAAUAGCUUUAGGGCUAGCGUCGAUGUUAAGUCUCUUGGAGGUAGAGCACUGUUUGAUUGAGGGGUCCAUCCCGGAUUACCAAUAUCAGAUAAACUCCGAAUGCCAAUGAGAUAUAAUCGGCAGUCAGACUGCGAGUGCUAAGAUCCGUAGUCGAAAGGGAAACAGCCCAGACCACCAGCUAAGGUCCCAAAAUAUAUGUUAAGUGGAAAAGGAUGUGGGGUUGCACAGACAACUAGGAUGUUAGCUUAGAAGCAGCUAUUCAUUCAAAGAGUGCGUAAUAGCUCACUAGUCGAGUGACCCUGCGCCGAAAAUGUACCGGGGCUAAAACAUAUUACCGAAGCUGUGGAUACCUUUAUAGGUAUGGUAGGAGAGCGUUCUAUGUGUGAAGAAGGUGUACCGUGAGGAGCGCUGGAACGCAUAGAAGUGAGAAUGCCGGUAUGAGUAGCGAAAGACAGGUGAGAAUCCUGUCCACCGUAUGACUAAGGUUUCCAGGGGAAGGCUCGUCCUCCCUGGGUUAGUCGGGACCUAAGGAGAGACCGAAAGGUGUAUCCGAUGGACAACAGGUUGAUAUUCCUGUACUAGAGUAUAUAGUGAUGGAGGGACGCAGUAGGCUAACUAAAGCGUGCGAUUGGAAGUGCACGUCUAAGCAGUGAGGUGUGAUAUGAGUCAAAUGCUUAUAUCUUUAACAUUGAGCUGUGAUGGGGAGCGAAGUUAAGUAGCGAAGUUAGUGAUGUCACACUGCCAAGAAAAGCUUCUAGCGUUAAUUAUACUCUACCCGUACCGCAAACCGACACAGGUAGUCGAGGCGAGUAGCCUCAGGUGAGCGAGAGAACUCUCGUUAAGGAACUCGGCAAAAUGGCCCCGUAACUUCGGGAGAAGGGGCGCUGGCUUUAAGUCAGCCGCAGUGAAUAGGCCCAAGCAACUGUUUAUCAAAAACACAGCUCUCUGCUAAAUCGUAAGAUGAUGUAUAGGGGGUGACGCCUGCCCGGUGCUGGAAGGUUAAGAGGAGCGCUUAGCAUUAGCGAAGGUGUGAAUUGAAGCCCCAGUAAACGGCGGCCGUAACUAUAACGGUCCUAAGGUAGCGAAAUUCCUUGUCGGGUAAGUUCCGACCCGCACGAAAGGCGUAAUGAUUUGGGCACUGUCUCAACGAGAGACUCGGUGAAAUUUUAGUACCUGUGAAGAUGCAGGUUACCCGCGACAGGACGGAAAGACCCCAUGGAGCUUUACUGCAGUUUGAUAUUGAGUAUCUGUACCACAUGUACAGGAUAGGUAGGAGCCUAUGAAAUCGGGACGCUAGUUUCGGUGGAGGCGUUGUUGGGAUACUACCCUUGUGUUAUGGCUACUCUAACCUAGAUAGGUUAUCCCUAUCGGAGACAGUGUCUGACGGGCAGUUUGACUGGGGCGGUCGCCUCCUAAAAGGUAACGGAGGCGCCCAAAGGUUCCCUCAGAAUGGUUGGAAAUCAUUCGCAGAGUGUAAAGGUAUAAGGGAGCUUGACUGCGAGAGCUACAACUCGAGCAGGGACGAAAGUCGGGCUUAGUGAUCCGGUGGUUCCGCAUGGAAGGGCCAUCGCUCAACGGAUAAAAGCUACCCUGGGGAUAACAGGCUUAUCUCCCCCAAGAGUUCACAUCGACGGGGAGGUUUGGCACCUCGAUGUCGGCUCGUCGCAUCCUGGGGCUGUAGUCGGUCCCAAGGGUUGGGCUGUUCGCCCAUUAAAGCGGCACGCGAGCUGGGUUCAGAACGUCGUGAGACAGUUCGGUCCCUAUCCGUCGCGGGCGUAGGAAAUUUGAGAGGAUCUGCUCCUAGUACGAGAGGACCAGAGUGGACUUACCGCUGGUGUACCAGUUGUCUUGCCAAAGGCAUCGCUGGGUAGCUAUGUAGGGAAGGGAUAAACGCUGAAAGCAUCUAAGUGUGAAGCCCACCUCAAGAUGAGAUUUCCCAUGAUUUUAUAUCAGUAAGAGCCCUGAGAGAUGAUCAGGUAGAUAGGUUAGAAGUGUAAGUGUGGUGACACAUGUAGCGGACUAAUACUAAUAGCUCGAGGACUUAUCCAA